GACGAACGCUGGCGGCGUGCUUAACACAUGCAAGUCGUACGGUAAGGCCCUUUCGGGGGUACACGAGUGGCGAACGGGUGAGUAACACGUGAGUAACCUGCCCACAACUUUGGGAUAACGCUAGGAAACUGGUGCUAAUACUGGAUAUGUGCUCCUGCUGCAUGGUGGGGGUUGGAAAGCUCCGGCGGUUGUGGAUGGACUCGCGGCCUAUCAGCUUGUUGGUGGGGUAGUGGCCUACCAACGCGGCGACGGGUAGCCGGCCUGAGAGGGUGACCGGCCACAUUGGGACUGAGAUACGGCCCAGACUCCUACGGGAGGCAGCAGUGGGGAAUAUUGCACAAUGGGCGCAAGCCUGAUGCAGCAACGCCGCGUGCGGGAUGACGGCCUUCGGGUUGUAAACCGCUUUCAGCAGGGACGAAGCUUUUUGUGACGGUACCUGCAGAAGAAGCACCGGCUAACUACGUG
rnacentral:rRNA from 1 species